CUAUCAUCCGUUCCAUUCCUUAUUUUUCCUUUUCAAGAUUUUUUGCUCUCUCCCGCGCCUCUAUCAUCUCUUCUCAUGUACUUUCCUUAUCUCCAGGUUCCAAAUUAUUUUCAAAUUCAUGCCUUAUUUUACAUGUUUUGUUGUGAUUGUUUUCAUUAAGCAUAAUCAUUUUGCAAUAUUAUCUUUAUGUUAUGAGUUUGAGUUGAAGACGGUGCCUUCCACAUGUUUGAUGAAAUGCAACACUACGACCACUUCUCAGUUGAAGUGAAAAUUGCUACGACCACAGUUAGUAGGUUGAUGCAUGACACCUAAGUGUUGGUAUCCUUCGUACUUCGCCCGUGUUUGGUUUAAAAACAUAAUAUAACAUUUUGUGGAAUUCAUGUAGAUAGAACAUAAUAUAUUUGUGGUUUCAUUUUUACUGUCUUAAGUGACUAGGAAUAAUUAGAUCUUAUUGUUCAAGCUCAAUAUUGGAGGUUAAAGGUAUUAUAAUAAAGGCCCACUCGUUUAAAGGCCCACGAGAGAUAAAAAUAUCUCGUGGUUAGAACCUGAGCCAAGAAAGGCAGUGCUGGUCCGCUAGGAGAAGGAGCACGAGGCUCACUGGCAGCAUUCAGGCAUGGCUUCUGGAAGGAGAGAGAGCAGAUCGGCGGAAAGGCUUUAUCAGAAGGCGAUUGUAGGUUUCAAGAUCUGCCUCUUACAUGAGGAUCUGUGUCUUUCAUUGAGGCUUUUCUAAUGCAGUGUAUUUGUAAAGGAGGAGUUAAGUUUGGAGAUCAAUCCUACCGUGAUAUAUUCAAACCUGCAGUUUGGUGACCAAGAUGGAAUAGACUCUGAUGGACUUCUUCAACAUCCAUUGGGGAUUAUGUGUGGAAAUGAUGGUGAAAUUUAUAUCACAGAUAGACACAAUCACAAGGUAGACAACUCACACCCAGGUAAUUUUGAAUUGCCAUGGCUCUGCCAUGCGAUAUAUCUUAUUGAAAACACUGACUGAAUUAUAUAACUCACUAACGUAUCUCAGUUCAAAGGCUUUUUUGCUAUGCAAAAGUACGGGGGAGGAUUCUAUAUAGCCUUACCCUUGCAUGUCAGAAACGCUAUUUCUGGAUUUGGAUCCACGACCAGCUGAGUUAUAUAUAUGCACGCACGCACACACACCAAGAAAAGAACGAAUUUUUAGAAUAAUUUACAUGUUCCUUUUGUCUUUGCAUACAUUUUCCAAUUUCUGUCAUUGCUGAAAUUUCCAAUUCUUGCUGGUCAUCCGGCUGAUUUCUAUGAAAAUUUGGGUGUCCGGCAGGUUUAAACUCUUUUAAACAUUAAUUAGAUUCUUAUUUUAACCUUUUAUGUCAAAUUUUUCGAGGGUAUCCAA